rnacentral:rRNA from 1 species
GAGUUUGAUCCUGGUUCAAAUUGAACGCUGGCGGCAGGCCUAACACAUGCAAGUCGAGCGGUAACAGGACUAGCUUGUUAGUUGCUGACAAGCGGCGGACGGUUGCGUAACACGUAGAAAUCUACCCAGUAGCGGGGGAUAGCCCGGAAAAAUCCGGAUUAAUACCGCAUACGCCUUACGAGGAAAAGCAGGGAAUCUUCGAACCUUGCACUAUUGGAUGAGCCUGCGUCGAAUUAGCUUGUUGGUGGGGUAAAGGCCUACCAAGGGAACGAUCCGUACCUGGUCUGAAAGGAUGAUCAGCCACACUGGGACUGAGACACGGCCCAAACUCCUACGGGAGGCAGCAGUGGGGAAUAUUGGGCAAUGGGCGAAAGCCUGACCCAGCGAUGCCGCGUGAGGGAUGAAGGCCUUCGGGUUGUAAACCUCUGUCAGGAGGGACGAUGGGACUUUGUCUUGACGGUACCUCCAGAGGAAGCCCCGGCUAACUCCGUGCCAGCAGCCGCGGUAAUACGGAGGGGGCAAGCGUUGCUCGGAAUUACUGGGCGUAAAGGGUCCGCAGGCUGUCGGGCAAGUUGGAUGUGAAAGCUCAAGGCUUAACCUUGGAAUUGCAUCCAAAACUGCCUGACUAGAGUCCAAGAGAGGUUGGCGGAAUUCCCGGUGUAGCGGUGAAAUGCAUAGAUAUCGGGAGGAACACCAGAGGCGAAGGCGGCCAACUGGCUUGGUACUGACGCUCAGGGACGAAAGCGUGGGUAGCAAACCGGAUUAGAUACCCUGGUAGUC